CAUUAUAUAACAGAAACAUGAGGUCCAACUUUGCAAACUAUCAGCCAAUGCAAAAAUAAAAAAAGCUAAGUGAUUUCUUCCAUUUUCCUAACCCUUGGUAGGCAGAGUUGCCCGAUAACCAUUAUAUAAUGAAACACGAGGUCCAACUUCUUGUUGCAGUAUCUAGUUGAUGAUAACGUUCCAAUCUAUCAUGCAACAGGUAAGCAGCAUAAGCACAAACGACUUCCGGCCUUAACCUAUGACAAAAACUAGCAAGAUAACAAUAUCCUCACUAAACAAGGAAUUGACUAAAGACCACAAUUCCACCAUAUGCUCUUCAACUAUAAGACAAAGUAAAUUUUGCACCUACAUAUCUCAAAUUGCAUAAAGAACAAGCCUUGAUCAAAUAGGAAAAACUACUCCAAGAACAAAAGAACAGAAUAAGAGAAAAUAAGAUAGAUUAAUAUGGAGCAAAUGAAGGAUGCAGCAGGUAGAACAUCUUCAGCUCAUUGAUCAAACAGAAUCACUGAGCUGCUAAAGAAUCAUAUCACCGGAGUUAAUAUAAAACACAGAAAUCAAUCAACCAACAAUUAAAUAGUAAAAACAAAAACACAAUUAACUGCAAAAGCAAAUCCAAA
rnacentral:lncRNA from 1 species